AACGAACGCUGGCGGCAUGCCUAACACAUGCAAGUCGAACGAGACCUUCGGGUCUAUUGGCGCAAGGGUGCGUAACGCGUGGGAACCUGCCCUUAGGUUCGGAAUACCUCACCUAAAGGGGUGUUAAUACCGGAUAAUGCCUUCGGACCAAAGAUUUAUCGCUGUUGGAUGGGCCCGCGUUGGAUUAGCUAGUUGGUAGGGUAAAAGCCUACCAAGGCGGCGAUCCAUCGCUGGUCUGAGAGGAUGAUCAGCCACACUGGGACUGAGACACGGCCCAGACUGCUACGGGGGGCGGCAGUGGAGAAUAUUGGACAAGGAGCGGAGGCCUGGUCCAGCAAUGCCGCGUGAGUGAUGAAGGUGUUUGGGUUGGAAAGCUCUUUUACCCGGGAUGAUAAUGACAGUACCGGGAGAAUAAGCUCCGGCUAACUCCGUG
rnacentral:rRNA from 1 species